CUUUUCCAUCCCACUUCUGCACCUGAUUCAGAACGCCACUGUCGCAGGUUAUCAAGGUCUGCGGAAAAGCACAAUAUGAACUGUAUUAGCACCCUGUAAUGGAAAUCUAAACACAACAGGAGCCCUGUGGAGAGGAUAAGGAGCUUGUGCCCACCCUGUAUCGAAACAAUGGCUACUUAGGCAAGGUUGAAACUGCAGACUGAUCCAGUAAGACUAUACCUCCAAUAAUGUAUUAUUAUUAUUCAGUUUUUUCUAUGUUAUUGCUAGACUAAAACAGUGAACAAACCUUUGUAUUUCUGUUAUCUGCUGUGGUCUCAUCAAACUCCUCUCCCAGUUUAAACGUCAUAUCUGUUG